rnacentral:rRNA from 1 species
GGCCUGUGAGGGUUGCUGGAGGUAUCAGAAGUGCGAAUGCUGACAUAAGUAACGAUAAAGCGGGUGAAAAGCCCGCUCGCCGGAAGACCAAGGGUUCCUGUCCAACGUUAAUCGGGGCAGGGUGAGUCGACCCCUAAGGCGAGGCCGAAAGGCGUAGUCGAUGGGAAACGGGUUAAUAUUCCCGUACUUGGUGUUACUGCGAAGGGGGGNNNNNNNNNNNNNNNNNNNNGGGGGGACGGAGAAGGCUAUGUUGGCCGGGCGACGGUUGUCCCGGUUUAAGCGUGUAGGUGUGUGUUCCAGGUAAAUCCGGUUCACUUUAACACUGAGGCGUGACGACGAGGCACUACGGUGCUGAAGCAACAAAUGCCCUGCUUCCAGGAAAAGCCUCUAAGCAUCAGGUAACAUCAAAUCGUACCCCAAACCGACACAGGUGGUCAGGUAGAGAAUACCAAGGCGCUUGAGAGAACUCGGGUGAAGGAACUAGGCAAAAUGGUGCCGUAACUUCGGGAGAAGGCACGCUGACACGUAGGUGAAGUGAUUUACUCAUGGAGCUGAAGUCAGUCGAAGAUACCAGCUGGCUGCAACUGUUUAUUAAAAACACAGCACUGUGCAAACACGAAAGUGGACGUAUACGGUGUGACGCCUGCCCGGUGCCGGAAGGUUAAUUGAUGGGGUCAGCGCAAGCGAAGCUCCUGAUCGAAGCCCCGGUAAACGGCGGCCGUAACUAUAACGGUCCUAAGGUAGCGAAAUUCCUUGUCGGGUAAGUUCCGACCUGCACGAAUGGCGUAAUGAUGGCCAGGCUGUCUCCACCCGAGACUCAGUGAAAUUGAACUCGCUGUGAAGAUGCAGUGUACCCGCGGCAAGACGGAAAGACCCCGUGAACCUUUACUAUAGCUUGACACUGAACAUUGAGCCUUGAUGUGUAGGAUAGGUGGGAGGCUUUGAAGUGUGGACGCCAGUCUGCAUGGAGCCGACCUUGAAAUACCACCCUUUAAUGUUUGAUGUUCUAACGUGGACCCGUUACCCGGGUUGCGGACAGUGUCUGGUGGGUAGUUUGACUGGGGCGGUCUCCUCCUAAAGAGUAACGGAGGAGCACGAAGGUUGGCUAAUCCUGGUCGGACAUCAGGAGGUUAGUGCAAUGGCAUAAGCCAGCUUGACUGCGAGCGUGACGGCGCGAGCAGGUGCGAAAGCAGGUCAUAGUGAUCCGGUGGUUCUGAAUGGAAGGGCCAUCGCUCAACGGAUAAAAGGUACUCCGGGGAUAACAGGCUGAUACCGCCCAAGAGUUCAUAUCGACGGCGGUGUUUGGCACCUCGAUGUCGGCUCAUCACAUCCUGGGGCUGAAGUAGGUCCCAAGGGUAUGGCUGUUCGCCAUUUAAAGUGGUACGCGAGCUGGGUUUAGAACGUCGUGAGACAGUUCGGUCCCUAUCUGCCGUGGGCGCUGGAGAACUGAGGGGGGCUGCUCCUAGUACGAGAGGACCGGAGUGGACGCAUCACUGGUGUUCGGGUUGUCAUGCCAAUGGCACUGCCCGGUAGCUAAAUGCGGAAGAGAUAAGUGCUGAAAGCAUCUAAGCACGAAACUUGCCCCGAGAUGAGUUCUCCCUGAGACUUUAGGUCUCCUGAAGGAACGUUGAAGACGACGACGUUGAUAGGCCGGGUGUGUAAGCGCAGCGAUGCGUUGAGCUAACCGGUACUAAUGAACCGUGAGGCUUAACCUUACAACGCCGAAGAUGUUUUGGCGGAUGAGAGACGAUUUUCAGCACUGAUU